GAUGAAGAACGUAGCGAAAUGCGAUAAGUAAUGUGAAUUGCAGAAUUCAGUGAAUCAUCUAAUCUUUGAACGCACCUUGCGCCCUUUGGCUAUUCCGAAGGGCAUGCCUGUUUGAGUAUCAUGAACACCUCAACCCUCAUGGUUUGCCAUGAUGGGCUUGGACUUUGGGGGUCUUGCUGGAUUGUAGUCAGCUCCCCUUAAAUGAAUCAGCUUGCCAGUGUUUGGUGGCAUCACAGGUGUGAUAAAUAUCUACGCUUGUGGUUUUACAUCAGAUAACCUUCAGUGAUGGAGGUUCACUGGAGCUCAUAAAGGUGUCUCUCCUCUGUGAGGACAGCUCUUUGAAUGUUUGAUCUCAAAUCAGGCAGGACUACCCGCUGAACUUAAGCAUAUCAAUAAGCGGAGGA
rnacentral:misc_RNA from 1 species